UACGGAGGGGGCAAGUGUUGUUCGGAAUUACUGGGCGUAAAGGGCGCGCAGGCGGCUUGGCAAGUCAAGUGUGAAAUCCCUCAGCUUAACUGAGGAAUUGCGCUUGAAACUACCUCGCUAGAGGGUGGGAGAGGGAAGUGGAACUCUCGGUGUAGGGGUGAAAUCUGUAGAUAUCGAGAGGAACACCGGUGGCGAAGGCGGCUUCCUGGCCCACAUCUGACGCUGAGGCGCGAAAGCGUGGGGAGCAAACAGG
rnacentral:rRNA from 1 species